GCAGGAAUUUUUUUUAAUGCACUUAACCUCUGCACGAAUUUUUUUUCAACACUACAUGUACUUUGCUUAUGGCGACCACCCGGUACGCCCAUGCCAACCAUGCAGUACCGCCGACUGCCAACUGCCCGGUACGCCCAUGACUUUGCUGUUUGCUUGCAAGAAUUUUUUUUCUCUGACGUAAUGGCUGCACGAAUUUUUUUCCAGGCAUUUUUCUUUGCACGAAUUUUUUUGGGGGAAUUUUCACCCCCCCCCCCCCCCCCCCGGGUUUU
rnacentral:lncRNA from 1 species